rnacentral:rRNA from 1 species
AAUCAACGCUGGCGGCGUGCCUAACACAUGCAAGUCGCACGAGAAAGCGGGCUUCGGCCUGCGAGUAAAGUGGCGCACGGGUGAGUAACACGUGAAUCAUCUACCUCCGAGUGGGGAAUAACCUAGAGAAAUCUGGGCUAGUACCGCAUAACACUUACGAGUCAAAGCAGCAAUGCGCUUGGAGAGGAGUUCGCGGCAGAUUAGUUAGUUGGCAGGGUAAUGGCCUACCAAGACGAUGAUCUGUAUCCGGCCUGAGAGGGCGCACGGACACACUGGAACUGAAACACGGUCCAGACUCCUACGGGAGGCAGCAGUGGGGAAUUUUGCGCAAUGGGGGAAACCCUGACGCAGCAACGCCGCGUGGAGGAUGAAAUCCCUUGGGAUGUAAACUCCUUUCGAUCGGGACGAUUAUGACGGUACCGGAAGAAGAAGCCCCGGCUAACUUCGUGCCAGCCGCCGCUGUAAAAC